CUAAAUCUGAAGGUAAACUACCUGAUAUCUGAUUUCCAUAUAUGGUAGUAUCUUCAAUGCUGAAAUGUUGAAAAUCUUUGCAGGAAUAGAACCACUUAAGUUAGUAGCUUUUAACCUAAGCAAUUGAAGGUUUUGUAGAUUACCGAUCUCAACUGGUAUUUCUCCUGGCAAUUAGAGUAAAAUGCAUAAAGAUUAGCUCAAACUGACAUUGCUUAGCUAUUGAGAAAUCUUAAAAUAAAAAAACAAAGCAGAAAGAUUAUUCAUACCUUCUAAAAGGUUUUCUCCAAGAUGCAACAUUGUGAGCAUAGUUAAGUUCCCAAGUUUUCUUGGUAUAGUUCCAGUGAACUGAUUUCCAGACAACGUCAAAUUUUUAAGCUUUGAGCAUUUCUCUAAAUUUGGUGGGAUUAGGCCAUCUAGGAUGUUGCUCGAGAGAAAGAGCACUUCAAGAUUUGGGAGAUUGUUACAAAUAUCUACAGGAAAUUUACCAGUAAGACGAUUGCGAAUUAUGGCGAGUUGUCUCUGGGAAGUCAUGUUGAAGAUUGAUGGUGGUAUAGAGCCAGUAAACCGGUUACCUAUUGGAGACAUAAUUAAACUUUUAGAUGAGGCGAUCACACACAUCAACAUGACCAAUCAGAAAGAUCAAUCAAGAAGUAAAUAGAAAUAUGCACUCUUUGACAGUUUAAGCAUUUAGAUGAGAUUUAUAUACUUAAACAUUACCUUGUAGGUCUAACAUUGUCAAGUACCGAAGGUUGCCAAUUUCAGGAGGGAUCUUUCCUUGAAGAGAAUUCCUCUGCAUUCUUAACUGUUGAAGCUUUGUUAGAUUGGACAAGGAAGAUGGGAUUUCCCCUGAAAAUUGGUUGCUCGAAAGGUAGAGGAAUCGAAGGUUAGGUAACAAACUUAAGACUGAGGGACUGGGACCACUAAAGUUAUUUCGUGUAACAUCAAUCAGUUUCAACCUUUGCAAAUGAGACAACUCUUCUGGCAAAUCUCCAUGAAAACUGCUGUUACUGAUGUCUCGAGGGAAACAAGAAAUGAGAGAUUUCCGAGGUGUAGAGGAAUGGUACCGCGAAGCUGCAUGCUAGAAAUGUCUAAAGCAGUGACUCGAUGGUGGCGCGAGCUGCAAGUAAUGCCAAUCCAGCUGCAAACUGGGGCGGAAACAGACCAGUUGCUUUGUAACAAGUUAUUAGGAUCAGAAGAAAUGUGAGAUUUGAAGGCAAGAAGAACAGCUUCAUCAUUAGGAUUAAUAGCCAAAGAAGCAGUAAAGAACACAACUGCAAAAGCUAACAUAAGAAUGCCUUUGGUUCUUUCCAUAAUUGGUCGACUGAUAAAUUAAAUUUGUCUUUUCAAUGAACCAAACAAGAGUAGUAGCUGAAAGCAAUGCAACAGUUUCUUUAAUAGGAGUAUCUUUUUUUGUGAAUUAUAAUACAUUAGGAGUAUUAGUUAGUAAGAGUCUUACAUUCCCUCCCUUCCUCAAACCCAACACACGCCAGCUUCACUUACUCGGUUUCGUAUUUGCCGU
rnacentral:lncRNA from 1 species